GCUAACACACGGCUAACACACGGCUAACAUAGCCAGUGAGGUUAGCACACGGCUAACACACAGUAAACAUAACCAGUGAGGUUAGCACACGGCUAACACACAGUAAACAUAGCCAGUGAGGUUAGCACACGGCUAACACACAGUAAACAUAGCCAGUGAGGUUAGCACACGGCUAACAGAGCUAGCAUUCAGUUUAGCUAACAGACAACACAGGCUACUAUUAGCUUUCAUUUAGCACACAGGUAGCAUAGAGCUAACAGCUAGCUGUAAUAUAGCUAACGUUACACAAACGCCUGUUAGCAUUUUAGCGCUUAGCCGAGACAAAGUGUUCGACCAAUAGGAAAGAGCCACAGAGCUGAGGGGGCGUGGCUUCAGGAGGGUUUGACGAGUGAGAUCUAAAGCCAUACACACUGUGUUUGUGCGCAUGUUAUUAACUGUGUGUGUGUGUGUGUUUGUAUGUGUGUGAGUGUGUAACAUUGCAGGGAUUUGCACUCUAGUGAUUCACCUCAGCAAGACGUCCACCCACACACACACACACACACACACACUUACACACACACACACACGCAUUGCACUGCCAUUUGAAAUAGUGGGUCAGAUUAGUUUCCAUGUAGCUUCACCAACCAACCAAACUGUAUUUUUCUUUAAAGGAACAGGGAUGUUGUAAAGUAUUUUUGUACAAAUUUAAUACUUUGGUAGCAUGACGUUCCUGGUGUUUGUCCUGUCGGGCUCCACUGCUCCUCCACCCCCCGUUUGUAUGGACGACUACUGAGCAACAAUAAAGAUGAAGACCUGCUGGGAGGAUGG